GCCUCAAGUGAUUUAUUGGUAGAGCAUGAGUCUCUUAAUCUUAGGGCUGUGAGUUUGAGCCCCAUGUUGAGCA